rnacentral:rRNA from 1 species
UACGGAGGGUGCAAGCGUUAUCCGGAUUCACUGGGUUUAAAGGGUCCGUAGGCGGUUUUGUAAGUCAGUGGUGAAAGCCCAUCGCUCAACGGUGGAACGGCCAUUGAUACUGCAAGACUUGAAUUAUUGGGAAGUAACUAGAAUAUGUAGUGUAGCGGUGAAAUGCUUAGAGAUUACAUGGAAUACCAAUUGCGAAGGCAGGUUACUACCAAUAUAUUGACGCUGAUGGACGAAAGCGUGGGGAGCGAACAGG